rnacentral:piRNA from 1 species
UGUGAAUUGCGUGAACCUCUGAUGCCCAGA